GUUGACCUCGGAUCAGGUAGGGAUACCCGCUGAACUUAAGCAUAUCAAUAAGCGGAGGAAAAGAAACCAACAGGGAUUGCUCUAGUAACGGCGAGUGAAGCAGCAAUAGCUCAAAUUUGAAAUCUGGCGUCUUCGACGUCCGAGUUGUAAUUUGUAGAGGAUGCUUCUGAGUGGCCACCGACCUAAGUUCCUUGGAACAGGACGUCAUAGAGGGUGAGAAUCCCGUAUGCGGUCGGAAAGGCGCUCUAUACGUAGCUCCUUCGACGAUCGAG
rnacentral:rRNA from 1 species